UAUUAAUAGUCGAAUCGAGGAAUAUAAAGUUCAUUCGUGAAUAUCUUCACUUUUUCAGAAAAUAAACGAAGUUUAUAAAUGCUGGGUGUUAAAUAGAUUUCGAAUCAUUCGAGGUACCUACACAAUGUUCAGAACAUUGACUUUACUAUUAGCAUUCGUAGUGUCGACGACGACGGUUGUAUCCAUCAGUGACGAAUUGUCAAGUACGAUUACAAGCAGUAUCUGUCUUCUCGCUCAUGGUGCAAAGGACUCGAAUAGCAACAUCGAUUUUCUUGGGACAAAAUGCGACACCGAUUGCUUCAUCGCCGAUCAAAAAAUUAUUUUCGAAUGUAAAAAUUACAAGCAUGGAAAUUUAUGCGAUACGGUUUAUAAACAGUUUGCCGGUAUAGCACAAAUGUUUUCAUGUAAGUUUUCGUGCAAGCCCAAGCCCAAAACAUCAACCAUAUGCUUUUCAUGUGACUCCAUAACUUAUAUUUAAAAAUUGCAAACAUUUACAAAAUAAAAAAAAAACGCAAACGACCAGACGGCGAUGUGAUUAUAAUUGAUCGAUUAAUUGUAUUUACAAUGAAAAUGUUGUUAUUAAAUAAACAGAAGAGUUACCUGUUGCAGGGGAAUACUCGAAUCAUUGUGAUGAAUUGAUUCCGAAAUCGCUGAAUUUCCAGUUGAAGUUAUUGUUAUUAUUUCACCAUUAUUGCUCGAAGUGGUGGUCAUUUCGGACAGUGAUUGCGAUUGAUUUUGGUUGGUUGUUGGCGUUAUUGUUACGAAAUUUCUUUGUGAAGCUAAUCUCGUAGC